ensembl:snoRNA SNORA62 Small nucleolar RNA SNORA62/SNORA6 family
UGUGUACGUUGUUAGAGCUUGGAGUUGAGGCCACUGACUGGCCGAUGAACUCACAAGGGUAGAUUGUGAGCUAUGUGAGUGGCAAAUUUUUCGCUAACAUCACAAGGGUAUCUGGCCCAAUGAGUGGAGUUUGAUAAUACUCCUUGCUACAAGU